GACGAACGCUGGCGGCGUGCUUAACACAUGCAAGUCGAACGGAAAGGCCCUGCUUUUGUGGGGUGCUCGAGUGGCGAACGGGUGAGUAACACGUGAGUAACCUGCCCUUGACUUUGGGAUAACUUCAGGAAACUGGGGCUAAUACCGGAUAGGAGCUCCUGCUGCAUGGUGGGGGUUGGAAAGUUUCGGCGGUUGGGGAUGGACUCGCGGCUUAUCAGCUUGUUGGUGGGGUAGUGGCUUACCAAGGCUUUGACGGGUAGCCGGCCUGAGAGGGUGACCGGCCACAUUGGGACUGAGAGACGGCCCAGACUCCUACGGGAGGCAGCAGUGGGGAAUAUUGCACAAUGGGCGGAAGCCUGAUGCAGCAACGCCGCGUGCGGGAUGACGGCCUUCGGGUUGUAAACCGCUUUCGCCUGUGACGAAGCGUGAGUGACGGUAAUGGGUAAAGAAGCACCGGCUAACUACGG
rnacentral:rRNA from 1 species